GACGAGCGGCGGACGGCUGAGUAACGCGUGGGAACAUGCCCCAAAGUGAGGAAUAACUGCCCGAAAGGGUAGCUAAUGCCGCAUAUGAUCUUAGGAUUAAAGGAUUUAUCCGCUUUGAGAGUGGCCCGCGUUCGAUUAGGUAGUUGGUGAGGUAAAGGCUCACCAAGCCCACGAUCGAUAACUGGUCUGAGAGGAUGACCAGUCAGACUGGAACUGAGACACGGUCCAGACUCC
rnacentral:rRNA from 1 species